GCGAACGCUGGCGGCAGGCCUAACACAUGCAAGUCGAACGAACUCUUCGGAGUUAGUGGCGGACGGGUGAGUAGCACGUGGGAACGUGCCUUUUGGUUCGGAAUAACUCAGGGAAACUUGUGCUAAUACCGAAUGUGCCCUUCGGGGGAAAGAUUUAUCGCCAUUAGAGCGGCCCGCGUCUGAUUAGCUAGUUGGUGAGGUAACGGCUCACCAAGGCGACGAUCAGUAGCUGGUCUGAGAGGAUGACCAGCCACACUGGGACUGAGACACGGCCCAGACUCCUACGGGAGGCAGCAGUGGGGAAUCUUGCGCAAUGGGCGAAAGCCUGACGCAGCCAUGCCGCGUGAAUGAUGAAGGUCUUAGGAUUGUAAAAUUCUUUCACCGGGGACGAUAAUGACGGUACCCGGAGAAGAAGCCCCGGCUAACUUCGUG
rnacentral:rRNA from 1 species